CAAACUGUGCUGGGAGAGGCAGACCUUGUCCCUGAGGAUAAAGGAGGUACAAGUUCAAGAGAUUCACUUACAGCAUGGUGACUAUACUGAAUAACAGUGUAUUGUGAACUUGAAAAUCACUGGGAGAGCAGACUUUGUGUUCUCACCACAAAAAAUUUGUAAGUAUGUGGGAUAAUGUGUAUGUUAAUUAGCUUGAUUUAACCAUUUCACAAUGUAUAUGUAUAUCAAAA
rnacentral:lncRNA from 1 species